UGACCGCUGAUUGCUUCCUCCUCCUCUUCUUAUUUAAUCUCCCUCCAGCCAACAGGUCUGUGAUGUUACUUUGAAGAGAAGCUGCACGAGCCAUGGAACGAAAUAAAAAAGACGCGAAAAAAGUGUUGCUGCUUAACUACUGAAACUGUUCAGGAGGGAACUUGUGGCGGUAAUGCGCGAACCGCCCUAAAACUUCAAAAAAAAAAGAAGAGAAAAGAAAGAAAACUACCGCGGCGUGACGUCAGACGCUGAAAAUGUGGUCGCGUGCAUUAGCUCCUGUAUAAAAACGCAGCAAGGCGCUCCGGGAUGGCGUGUUCGACCUGGUCCAGAUUGAUGACCCGUCCAGAAUGGAACAACCUGCUUCCUGCUCACGGAGACCUGGUCGGACCCGCCAUAUACAAAAGCCUGAGGCUGUCAAAAAAAAGAUUGAUCUUCAUGAAGAUCGUCAAAGAGUAGGUGUCAUGCUUUAAUUCUGGGUGGCCGCUGUGUCCCCACUCUUUCUUGGCUGCUGUGCCUACAUCUCUCUUCAUUGUCCAACAUGGCCACGUUCUUUCUAUUCUCCUGCUUUCUUUCCAUCUGUCAAAUAGCUGAGGGUUGUACAUGGAGCCUUUUUUUUCUCUCUUUUCCAUCGUGGCCAUUAAUCUACCGUUAGCCCUAGAACGUUAAAAUAGAUCCUUGUGAUCUACAAACACAGUACCUGGCUUUAAAUGGCAGCCCUGCCAUUGCCUUUGUAUGGCCAUACGUCCCUUAAUGCAAGUAGGCCUUGAUCGCUAACUGUGCCCGCGCCUUCGUGGCCUACUUGUGUCAUUGUACGUCUGGCCUUGCGCGUAUAGUCAUUUUACAUAGGCAAACAUGGGUGCCUUCCGCGUCCAUGCACAGUAAGUGAACUAACCUGUACUUUUCUUCUAGCAUCAGUCAAGAGGAGCACCGACAUCACUGCAUGUCCAUCUUAAUUAGAUCGCGUUUUAGUUAAAUUUCAAAUGUUAAGUGUAGUUUUUCUUUCUUGCUUGGCCGCCGUGCCAUUACUAUACCUGCUCUAAACCUGAAUCUUGAUUCUUCAUGGCCACUGUGUCAUGACUGUUCUUGGUCUUGGUGUUCAUGCCAGUCUAUCAUUUCUGAUCUGUCUUUCCUACUAAGUUUUCCUGGUUGAGUGUGUGUGUGUGUGUGUGAUGACUGACUUGGACUGACGUUAAUCUGACCUUUGGACCAAGACUAACACUCCAAUUGACUUUACUACACCAGAAAGGUGAACAAAAUUUAUGCUGCAAGACUGUCAAGAUGCACACCAAUUAGACGACAAGCAAAUUCAAAUUCUUUCAAAAACAGGUAAAAUUUGUACCUUUUCGGGUAAGUAUUAAAGGCCUUUGCCACAUGAUCUUUGUGGGUAAAUCAUGUACACUCCAUUUAUAGAGUUAAUUUGCAUCUUAACAUUUACAAUGCCUGACACAAUGGCAUUACAAUAAUCAAAUUUUUUUGUUUCGUGUAACUGAGUUCAAAGGCCUUUAUUUACACACUGAAACAUGCCAAGACUGCUGUAGUGGUCUCUCUCUCUCUCUCUCUCUCUCUCUCUCUCUCUCUCUCUCUCUCUCUCUCUCUCUCUCUCUCUCUCUCUCUCUCUCUCUCUCUCUCUCUCUCUCUCUCUCUCUCUCUCUCUCUCUCUCUCUCUCUCUCUCUCUCUCUCUCUCUCUCUCUCUCUCUCUCUCUCUCUCUCUCUCUCUCUCUCUCUCUCUCUCUCUCUCUCUCGUCAGAUUUAGUCACUUUUUUUAGUCUCAACUUAAAUAGAUGAUUUUUAAGUUGAUUAGUCUUGAGGCGCCUGAUUUCUGUAGGAAAUUCUGGUACCUUAUUUUGAAAUGGCUUUAAUUUAAAAAUGUGAUUUUGGUCUUCAAUCUCAGUUAUCAUAGUUGCAACUUGGACUGUUGACAAACGUGGAAGCUGAUGUCUUUUAUUCUCAACUGGUAAUUGCUUUGAUAAGAUAACUGGUUCCUGAUUUGAUUAUGAAGCUAAAUUUUUGAUUUAUAUGCAAGUGUAGUCACAUUAGAUUGUAGAUGUUAUUCAGCCCAUGGAUAAUGUUAUGAUAUACACUAAAUCUGGCAUUUGUUGGCACACUUUUGAUAUCCAUUUAAGUCUUAAACUUUACCCACUGCCAUCAGCCUUUGUAGUCACUAACUGACAUCAAAUUCAAUAUUAACGCUGACUUGUCUCACUUUGCCAUGUUUAUUUCUUUCUAAAGGAGUUGAACCGUUUCGUGUUCAUAGUCUUUUUGCGCGUCAUGUUGGGAGGCCUCCCAGCAGGGGAUUUUUAUCUUCCCCUGCAAAACUAUACUUUACUCGCCUUAGGGAUGCAGGGCUAUCCUGCAUAGUUUCUUUACUAAAUUAGAUUGUAGGUUGCAGGAUUAGAGCGCGUUUAUUUUCUUUAGGAGGACACAAACCUGGCAGAGAGACAACUCGGAUUAUUUAAGUGAAAGUUGCACCAAAUGUUCAAACUUUUUUAUCUUUCGAUACGAUGACUUGAAAUAAAUCUUUUAUUCUGUGGGCUGAAUUCAGACCGAAAUCAGACAGAAUUUGGCUUCAUGUUAAAGUCUGUUGUGCAAGUAAUUAUCUUGUAGCAGGAGUGAGCAGCUGCAUCUUUUUAAUUUAUUUUUCAUAAUUUGAUUUGUUUCUUGGAUUGACUUGGUGUCUGGAGCUUUGUGGUUAACGGUGAUCAUGUAAACGUGUAAACACAAGUGGUCUUUUGCCUCUUAUUUGCGAAGCUGGCAGCUGGUUGAAAUGGUAGGACUUUACUUGCCCAAAGUGGGAUUUUUUAUAGAGCAUAGGGUUAACACCUCACCAUACACUCGCUAUUUCAGUGAACAGGUGUCUGUAGUCCGUUAUUACCCAUGAAUUUCUUUCAAAUUUCACAAUUUAGGCAGCUUGUAGAGUCAUUAAGAAGAUGCUUAAUCCCAAUGUCUUGGUCAGUUGCAUGAGAAACUGCUAUCUCUUAGAUGUGUUGGUGAAGUUCCUCCUCUGAUUUUGUAGACUUGCCCUAACGUUUCUCUCUGCUUUAACUCUUGUUGAGCUAUACAUUAAAUGAUUCCUCCAACUUGUCUCCAUAUCAAAUUUUUUUUCUCCAUGCAGCCUUCCACCACCCACUGCUGCUGUUGCAUCUGCUAAAGGUAGCCGUAUCCUGAUUCACUGCGUCUUCAUGUGUUGGGUAAGAAGUGUCAUUAGACUACUAACAAUGUAAACACCUUUUAAAUGCUUGAUCUAAUUUACCCAAAUGGUUCAUCAGUUUAGGACAGAAAAUCAUUGAAUUUGACAGUCUUGGGGUCAGUAACCUGACCUCUAAAUGUUUGGGAAACCAUGCAAAAGAUCGCAAGCUCUUUGCAUGACCCAACAGCAUCGAUGUUUGAGUUAUUUAAUUGCUCAAUUUUUAAAUCAGUCAAGGUUUUAUGAGCUGGAUCUUCUUCACACAACAGAGAACAAGGUAAAUUGAGUCGACUCGUAACAUGGUAAGGCAUUUUGUCUUUCCCCUUCUUCUCUGUGUGUGAAGAAAUCUGGCCACAGAUCAUGACUGAGUGGCAUACCAUGGCGGUGCAGUUUCCAAAAUCAGACAAGGAUCCAUCUGAUUUUGUAACUCGGCCUGUCAUGAUAUGCAUGUAUCUUCCUCCGAAACAAAGGAUUGGAAUGGUCAGGUUUGUAGUGUAAAUCACAUCACAUCACUUGUAGAUGGUGAAGCAUUUGUUUAAAUUGGGGUCAAGCAUUUUCAGGUGUCUGCUUUGUCAAUACUCUGGUGCCACGUCUUGCUAAACACACGAGAAGCUCUGAAUUGUGAAACUGCUGCCCCUUGCAGAUGUUACAACAGCAAUGGCUGUCGAAAGGCUGCAGGGAGAGAAAAUGAGAUCCGAGGACAGGAAAGUGGGAUUGAUUUCAUGCUUAGCAAAAUGAGGGUUUCAGCAGAGGAACUUUUUGUGGCGAGGCUACGGAAUCAGAAGGAACGUUUGUCUGGGCAACUGGGAGAUUCACAGUUUUUCAUGCAGCCAACUAAGACAUUGGGGUUAGCAUCAUCCCAAAUGGCUGGCAAAGAUUGCUUGUAACUGUCAGUGUAGGACAGGAAAGGCAGGUAUAGGUUAGGGAGGGCAUCCAUCGGUGAGCUCUGACUGGAUGUGAGGACCUGUCACACUUGACCAGAGAUGAAGGCUGCAGCACAUUCCUGGAUCAGGGGACUCCAUGUUGGACACCACGACCUGGAGAAGUCCCGUCUUGGAUGGCUGCGGUGAUGACCUUGCCCAAGAUGAACCAACCCUUCUACGACGAGGACUACGCCCAAGAUGAACCGACCCUUCUAAGAUGAGGACUUUGUCUAAGAUGAACCGACCCUUCUACGACGAGGACUUUGCCCAAGAUGAACUGACCCUUCUACGACGAGGACUUUGCCCAAGAUGAACUGACCCUUCUGUGACAAGGACUUUGCCCAAGAUGAACCAACCUUUUCCACAGGAUGUCUUCAGAUGUUGGACCUUGCCAUACUGUACACAUGGCUCAAUGGCUGCUACGACACUCUGCCCAACAGGACAUGGUCACCAAGAUCUUUUUUAUUUUUUUAAAAUGGACUUUAACGCCCCCUGUCCCCACUGACCGACAACCAUACAUGACAAAACACUGUACAUGUGAUGCUUCACCAAUUGCUCAAUUUUAAAUUAGUCAAGAUUUCAUGAGCUGGGUCUUCUUCACACAACAGAGAACAAGGUAAAUUGAGUUGACUCGUAACAUGGUAAGGCAUUUCGUCCUUCCCCUUCUUCUCUGUGUGUGAGGAAAUCUGGCCACGGAUCAUGACUGAGUGGCAUACCAUGGCUGUGCUGUUUCCAAAAUCAGACAAGGAUCCAUCUGAUUUUGUGACUCGGCCUGUCAUGAUGUGCAUGUAUCUUCCUCCGAAACAAAGGAUUGGAAUGGACAGGUUUGUAGUGUAAAUCACAUCACUGUAGAUGGUGAUGGUGUACAGACACUGCUACUUUCAACCUGUAAUGUUAGACAUUGAAAACUUGUAUUAUUGCCUUCUUUAUAUCAAGUAAAACCUUUGUUCUUAACUUUAUGGU